GUAGGUGGCAAGCGUUGUCCGGAAUUAUUGGGCGUAAAGCGCGCGCAGGCGGUUCUUUAAGUCUGAUGUGAAAGCCCACGGCACAACCGUGGAGGGUCAUUGGAAACUGGAGAACUUGAGUACAGAAGAGGAAAGCGGAAUUCCACGUGUAGCGGUGAAAUGCGUAGAGAUGUGGAGGAACACCAGUGGCGAAGGCGGCUUUCUGGUCUGUAACUGACGCUGAGGCGCGAAAGCGUGGGGAGCAAACAGGAUUAGAUACCCUGGUAGUCCACGCCGUAAACGAUGAGUGCUAAGUGUUAGGGGGUUUCCGCCCCCCUUAGUGCUGCAGCUAACGCAUUAAGCACUCCGCCUGGGAUACGGCCGCAAGGCUG
rnacentral:rRNA from 1 species